rnacentral:rRNA from 1 species
AGGAGGGGAUUGCGUCUGAUUAGCUAGUUGGAGGGGGUAACGGCCCACCAAGGCGAUGAUCAGUAGCCGGUCUGAGAGGAUGAACGGCCACAUUGGGACUGAGACACGGCCCAAACUCCUACGGGAGGCAGCAGUGGGGAAUCUUCCGCAAUGGACGAAAGUCUGACGGAGCAACGCCGCGUGAGUGAUGACGGUCUUCGGAUUGUAAAGCUCUGUUAAUCGGGACGAAUGGUUUGUGUGCAAAUAGUGCAUAGACAUGACGGUACCGGAAUAGAAAGCCACGGCUAACUACGUGCCAGCAGCCGCGGUAAU